CCUACGGGAGGCAGCAGUGAGGAAUAUUGGUCAAUGGACGAGAGUCUGAACCAGCCAAGUAGCGUGAAGGAAGACUGCCCUAUGGGUUGUAAAUUUCUUUUAUAUGGGAAUAAAACAGGGUAUGCAUACCCUCUUGUAUGUACCAUACGCAUAAGGAUCGGCUAACCUCGUGCCAGCACCCGCGGUAAUACGGAGGAUCCGAGCGUUAUCCGGAUUUAUUGGGGUUAACGGGAGCGUAGGUGGAUUGUUAAGUCAGUUGUGAAAGUUUGCGGCUCAACCGGAAAAUUGCAGUUGAAACUGGCAGUCUUGAGUACAGUAGAGGUGGGCGGAAUUCGUGGUGGAGCGGUGAAAUGCGUAGAGAUCACGAAGAACUCCGAUUGCGAAGGCAGCUCACUGGACUGCGACUGACGCUGAUGCGCGAAAGUGUGGGUAUCAAACAGGAUUAGAUACCCGAGUAGUC
rnacentral:rRNA from 1 species